rnacentral:tRNA from 2 species
GGAAGGGUGCUCCGAAUUGGUAAGGAACUGGUCUUGAAAACCAGCGCCCCGCAAGGGGCUUGUGGGUUCGAGUCCCACCCCUUCCG